UGGGGAAUCUUCCGCAAUGGACGAAAGUCUGACGGAGCAACGCCGCGUGUAUGAUGAAGGUCUUCGGAUUGUAAAGUACUGUCAUUGGGGAAGAACGGUUUUCUUGAAAAGAUUGAGAAGACAUGACGGUACCCAAGGAGGAAGCCCCGGCUAACUACGUGCCAGCAGCCGCGGUAAUACGUAGGGGGCAAGCGUUGUCCGGAAUUAUUGGGCGUAAAGGGCGCGUAGGCGGGCCUUUAAGUCCGGUGUGAAAGAUCAGGGCUCAACCCUGAGAGUGCAUCGGNAACUGGAGGCCUUGAGGACAGGAGAGGAAAGUGGAAUUCCACGUGUAGCGGUGAAAUGCGUAGAUAUGCGGAGGAACACCAGUGGCGAAGGCGACUUUCUGGACUGUAACUGACGCUGAGGCGCGAAAGCGUGGGGAGCAAACA
rnacentral:rRNA from 1 species